CCAGGGUCCUGCCUGCACCAGGGCCAGUGUGUUUUUCAGGGAGGGGAGCGUUGCCACGCUCAGGAUGAAGAGUUGUUAUGGUAACAAAUGACUCGUAUUCUCCGAAGGAAGCACAAUUUCAGCUUAAUAGGGGGAAAACGCAGGGAAGAAGAAAAAGAUAAUAUUUCAAAAAACUUUAAUGAGACGUGAAUUGUACACGCUCGUCCUCUGGAGUGUGUAAUGGUUCAGCAGGGAGGAUGAGCGCUGUUUACAACCAGUCCCACACGCCGAGUGCAGCUGUGUCCACAGAGAAUCCAAAUUUCAGGGUGCCCUCUGGGCUUCUCUGACACCAGCCAGAACACCAGGGAGAUUGUGUUGGCUCUAAAGCCUCAUCCCCAUCCCAAAGGUGCUGCCUGUGCAGUGGCAGCAUGGGGAAGCCAGAGCCGAGGUGCCCUACAUCAGAAAGCCUUGUGAAACAGAGACCCCAGCAAUGCUGUGGAAGGAGGAUGAUGCCUGUGGGGUGGAGGCAGAGCUUCCCUCACCCUGCCUGCCCACUCCUGCAGCCCCCUGGUCUGGGGGCAUCCCUCUGGUGUGGCACAGCUGUGCCACUGCCUGUGAUGAUGCAGCCAACGCCAGCCUGGGCUGCCUGGGCUUCCCUCAUGGAGCUCCACACUGGCUCCUGCCUUCACCUCCUCUCCCCAGAAGCCAAGGAAAAGCAGUGCUUUGAUAAGGAAUGAAAUCAUUAGGAAUGUGCCAGAAACCAGGUAUUAAUAGAAGCACUAUUAGAGGAUUUAUGGAUGAUUUAAGAUGCAGCCCAUUCCGCUCGUGAAUGCCUCGUCUGUUUAAGAGCAGUAAUUGCCUAUUAUCCAGCAGCUUCUAAUGUGCUUGGCUCGUGCUGGCGUGACACACGAAGAUGCAGCACAUCUUUAAAACAGCCAAUGCCAAUUCCAAGGACCUGCUUGUAAUUUUAAACACAAGAAUCCAGUAAAACUCAGAUGGCAGCUGAGAGGUGAAAAAGCCAACGGCACAUGGCGGGCAUGGAAGCAAUGACCAGGGAAGUGCUCAUAGCUUGGAGGUGGACACAGCUCUCAGCAGAUGACAGCUCUGCUUAUGCUCCAGGUGUGUUCUACCCCUCCUCCCCAUGUGCCACGUGUUUUGGGCCCUGCGGCAGAGACGGUUUCAUGGAUCAAACAGAGCCAGUAUUUUGGAACAUUUUCACCCUUUGAAGUGCACUAAUCAACCAGAAAAGCCUUAACUUCUGAAUCAGGGGAGAAUGGACUAAAACCAGCUAGUGAUGAUGCAGGAAGGAGACCAGUGCCACACUCACCCCACACGGCCCGCCCUGGGCCUCCCUCAGCAGCACAAACCCACCUUCGCCGUGACCCGCAGCAGAGGCUUUUCAUAUCUGCUGAAAGAAAUUUUCUGGUGGCGAAAAGCCUUCCUGGUGGUGGAGGGAAGAUCCCGCUGUUCAUCUCACAGGCUCUCACUCACUCUGCGAGGAAGAAAAGCCUUUUGAACGCCAGCCACAGCAGCCAGGCAGCGCCUUCCACUGUCUCCUUGGCAGCUUUUAAUUUAUAGUGCCCACAAUUUGACGUGUUGAUCUUCCUGAUUGCACAAGGAAUUGAAUUGGAUUCAGAUUUAUUUGUUCUAAUUUGUGCCUCCUGUUACUUAUCACCGCAGCAUUGCCGGCUGCGGACGGGCUUUGCUCAGCCAUCCCAAUUAAAGCCUGCGAAGUGCAAAUACACACAAGAGCAGCUGGAAAUGCGAUGAGCAGAGAGCAAACAGGCAAACAAGCCAGAGCCCACGGUGACUACAAACCGAGUCAUUCUGCUGUGAGUUUCACCAAGAGGAAUUGCGGCUCCGUUCAUUUCCCAGGAGUCUCUCCUGCUGCUCCACCAGUGAGCAAUUGCUGCCAGGCUGCCCUGGCCACAAUCCCACCCUGCCCCACCAUGUCCCUGCCUGCCAGGUUAUUUAGAGACUAAUUUUUGGACAGCUGAGCACUGGCUUCAACCUGCUGGUCUCCCAAAAAGGGGACAGCAACAGUGACCUGAGUGAUCCAAUCCUUGGAGAUCUACCGAUCCACAGCUGUACCCAGAAGGUCAGGAUUAGGAAUGAGGAGUCUGAGUAAAGAUUAAAGGGUUCUGUGGCUGAUCCUUUCUGGCUAUAAGCAGCACCCACAGCCUCUUGUUCUGACCAGUGCCUUCCCUGCUUCCUGGCUGAGCCCUCCCCCCAGCUCCGCUGUCAGGAGAGCUGAGAGAGUCCUCCUUGGGCUGUCACUGCCCGUCACUCCUCUCAGCAUCAGUAACAGCCCAUUGGUGCUACUGGAAGAAAAGGCCUCGCUUUUGAAUUGAGGAGUCCCAUCCUUUGGGUUUUUUCAUGCUCCCCUGUCCCUGGCAGCCCUGCAGGGCUGUAACUUCCAUGCCCGGGGGCAAAUUCUCAGUCCUGCUCUUUCUAAUAAGCUCAACAGACUGAGCUCUUUAAUUCCCUUUGGGGAGAGAUUUUUCCAGUCCUCAGCUCACCUUUGUCUGACUCCUUUCUGCAGAGCGUUUUUU